GAAUAAACUAGCUCUCGCCAGGCGUUCUCGUGUGAGUGACAUCGUCUUUAAACCCUGCGUGGCAAUCCCUGACGCACCGCCAUGAUGCCCAGGGAAGACAGGGCGACCUGGAAGUCCAACUACUUUCUUAAGAUAAUCCAACUUUUGGAUGACUACCCAAAAUGCUUCAUUGUGGGCGCAGACAACGUGGGCUCCAAGCAGAUGCAGCAGAUCCGCAUGUCCCUCCGAGGGAAGGCUGUGGUGCUGAUGGGCAAGAACACCAUGAUGCGCAAGGCCAUCCGAGGGCAUCUGGAAAACAACCCAGCUCUGGAGAAACUGUUGCCUCAUAUCCGGGGGAAUGUAGGCUUUGUGUUCACCAAGGAGGACCUCACUGAGAUCCGGGACAUGCUGCUGGCCAACAAGGUGCCAGCUGCUGCCCGUGCUGGUGCCAUUGCCCCAU